GGAGUAUAGCUCAGUGGUAGAGCGCGUGCUUAGCAUGCUCAAGAUUCUAGGUUCAAUCCCCAGUGCCUCCA
rnacentral:tRNA from 1 species